CACUCUUAUAAAUACAGAGCCUCUCUUCUCUUCCCGCCGUUUCAUACAGAAGAGUGUGUUUUUUGUGUAGCGAAGCGUGCUUUAUGAUUUUCGAACUAUCGUCGUUUCAUUGAUCUUCAAAAUAAAACGCUUCUUCAAUCGCAAACCCUAAAACACGUUCUCUCUCUCUCUCUCUCUCUCUCUCUCUCUCUCUCUCUCUCUUCUUCACCCGCUUCGUCAAUGGAACUCCGUCCUCGUCGACUCCUUACCGAUGAUGUGGAUUCUGCGGCUGAGAAGGGGAAGCAGCCGAUGGAUGAUUCUGAUGGAAAGUGUGACAGUGACACUGAAAGUGAUCUUGGUUCGUUUUUGAAAUCUGAUUCUGAUUAUGAAGCUGAAGCCGUUGACGAGCACUUAACUUUUGACUUGAAUCAAGUCCCAACUUUAAGCGGAAAUGAUUCUGAUUGUGAUUCUUUAGCUAAAAAGAUAAUGGCACUGUCUCGAAAGAGAGGAAGAGAAUCCCUGAUAAAAAUCGAAGGCCUGAGUGAUUUAGAGAGAGAGCUGGAGCACGGUGAUGAAGCUUCAAUUGAUUCACCUAAGGAGAAAAAGAAGCGAAAAGCAAAUAAAACGAAAAAGGGAGUUCCUAAGCCAGUGUUGUUAUGGCAUGCUUGGAGAGAUGAGCAUGAAAGAUGGAUUGAUCAGAAUUUGUUGGAAGAUGUUAACUUAGAUCAAAGUGAAGUGAUGAAUGAGACUGCCGAGGCAUCGUCAGAUCUGAUUGUUCCUUUGCUGAGGUACCAAAGGGAAUGGUUAGCAUGGGCUUUGGAGCAAGAAAAUUCUGUAAGUAGAGGAGGAAUCCUCGCCGAUGAAAUGGGUAUGGGGAAAACUAUUCAAGCAAUUGCCCUUGUUCUUGCUAAACGUGAAUUUCAACAAAUGAGUCGCGAACCAGAUGAACACCCACAUUCACCCGGGUCAUCUAAAGUCCUUCCUGCGAUCAAAGGAACCCUUGUCAUCUGUCCUGUGGUUGCUGUUACUCAGUGGGUUAGUGAGAUUGAUCGAUUUACUUUGAGAGGAAGCACCAAGGUUCUGGUUUAUCAUGGGGCAAAGAGAGGGAAGAGUGCUGAACAGUUCUCAGAGUAUGAUUUUGUAAUAACAACAUAUUCUAUUGUUGAAUCGGAGUACAGAAGGUAUGUGAUGCCUCCUAAGGAGAAAUGCCUAUAUUGUGGAAGAUUAUUUUACGAGAGUAAAUUAAUUAUUCACCAGAAGUACCACUGUGGGCCUGGCGCUAUUAAAACUGAAAAACAAUCAAAGCAGACAAAGAAAAAGAAAAGUGGUCAGAGUUCAAAGUGGGAUGGAGGGUUGAAGCAGGGCUCUAUCAAGAAGAAGAAGAAUGAAAUAUCCUCAAGAAUAGAAGACAAUGAGAAGUCUUGGCUCCAUGCUGUUAAGUGGCAGAGGAUCAUAUUGGAUGAGGCCCACUAUAUAAAAUCUAGGCAUUCUAACACUGCAAAAGCAGUUCUUGCUUUAGAGUCUUUCUACAAAUGGGCAUUAAGUGGCACACCCCUUCAGAACCGUGUUGGAGAGCUAUAUUCUUUGGUACGAUUUCUGCAGAUAGUUCCUUAUUCCUAUAACCUAUGCAAGGACUGUGAUUGCAGGAUGCUUAAUCAUAGCUCCUCUAGACAAUGUUCAAAUUGCCCCCACAGUUCUGUUAGGCAUUUUUGUUGGUGGAACAAAAAUAUUGCCACACCAAUUCAAUCAUAUGGAUAUGGUGAUGGGGGGAAAAGAGCUAUGAUAUUGCUCAAAAACAAAAUUUUAAAGAGCAUAGUGUUAAGGCGAACUAAAGUUGGCAGGGCUGCUGAUCUGGCACUUCCUCCUAGGAUCGUAUCAUUGAGGAGGGAUAGCCUAGAUACAAAAGAACAAGAUUAUUAUGAAUCACUAUACAGUGAAAGUCAAGCACAGUUUAAUACGUACGUACAAGAAAAUACUCUGACGAAUAAUUAUGCUCAUAUUUUUGACCUCCUCACUCGACUACGUCAGGCUGUGGAUCAUCCUUAUCUUGUGGUGUAUUCUCCAACUGCAGCAGCACUAAAAGGAGGGAACUUGGUUAGUAAUGGUAAUGUUGAAGUAGAAUGUGGCCUUUGUCAUGAUGCAGUUGAAGAUCCUGUGGUUACCUCUUGUGAGCAUACCUUUUGCAAGGGAUGCUUGAUAGAUUUCUCUGCUUCCUUAGGUCAAGUAUCAUGCCCCUCAUGCUCUAAGUUACUCACUGUUGAUUUGACUUCCAACAAGGAUACUGUGGUUCAUAGAACAACAAUUAAGGGGUUCAGACCUUCAAGCAUUUUAAACAGAAUCCAGAUUGAGAAUUUUCAGACAAGUACUAAAAUAGAGGCAUUGAGAGAAGAAAUUAGAUCUAUGGUUGAAAUGGAUGGUUCUGCAAAAGCUAUUGUUUUUAGCCAAUUCACAUCAUUCUUGGAUCUCAUAAACUACUCCUUGCAAAAGUCAGGUGUAUCUUGCGUUCAACUGGUUGGAAGUAUGACAUUGGCUGCUCGGGAUGUUGCCAUUAAAAAAUUUACCGAAGACCCAGACUGUAGAAUUUUCCUAAUGAGCUUGAAAGCUGGAGGCGUUGCUCUGAAUUUGACCGCAGCAUCUCAUGUUUUCCUCAUGGAUCCUUGGUGGAACCCUGCAGUUGAGCGUCAGGCUCAAGACAGAAUUCACCGUAUAGGGCAAUACAAACCAAUCAGAAUUGUGAGAUUUGUCAUUGAAAACACAAUCGAGGAGAGGAUCUUGAAACUUCAAGAGAAGAAGGAAUUAGUAUUUGAAGGGACUGUAGGUGGUUCUACAGAGGCUCUAGGGAAGUUAACGGUGGCCGACUUGAGAUUUCUCUUUGUUACCUAGGCUGGCUAUCUUGACAGGAAAAUUUGUUGAUACUUCCUAUAGAAUACAUCUUUUGGGAAAUAUUUUUUGAUGAUAUACAUCAUGUAACUUGCAUGAAGCUUAACAGAAUGUAUGAGUCUGUUAAUAGGAGACUCAUUUUAAAAUGCAAUUUUUGUGUUAUAAAUAGAUGUGUUGUGUGAGUAA